UGGCACCGUGUUUCGUAAUAGUGAGUGACAUCCCAAUUUUAAUAUCUUAUAGGCUCACAUAUAAGUCACUUGUUGCUAAUUAUUUACCAGAAAUGACUUGUUAGGAUUUGUGAUAUUUUUCACUAUAUAGAAAAGUAUGUGGCAUGUAUCUCAUAGCAAACAAUGGCUUUCCCUAAGGCAAACAACCACUCCUUUUCUUCUGUUCUUACAAAAAUCAAUUUAUCACUCUCAUCCCACAACACAAUGCUCACACCCACAACUCAUUCCGCGGCUGCUCUGCCCACCACGGCUUCUCAUUGUUGCCUUCCUUCGAUGCCACGUCAUUUAGCACGCACCUUGCUCUCACCCUCCCUGUUCCCUCCUCUCCACGGCGUCACCGGCCGCUCCUCUCCACUCCACGGCGUCACCGGCCGCUCCUCCAAGGAGUACACAUCAUCGUAGCCGAGGGCGACCACCACGACAACACAACAUGUUGUUCAUCGCAACGCCACACCUUCUCUGAGCAUAUACCAAGCUUAUGUGUACAUCCUUUUACCUAGUAGAUAUAAAUAUUUCAAUGGUUCUACAUGUCCUUGCAGAUAUAUCCACCUCACUACUACUACCACAGCGGGUUCCUUGCUGCAAAAUGAAUUGACAAAUAUUAACAUUGACAAAAGAUCAUUUUAUGCUAUAACAUAUGCAAUAAGUGUAUAAUUUCCAUGGGUUUACCCAUGAUUUGAUGGCCCCAAGCCAUUCUUUUAAAACAAUAGAUGAAUACUCAUGCAUUGGCAUGGAACGAUAAACUUAAAACACUGAUAAAAAAAUUGUAAUCCAUAACAUGUCGCUUGUGGCUUAUGAAUGCUUUCCGAUAAAUAUCACUAUGUAUUACUGUUAAGACAACAAAUUUAAAGAUCAACUAUAACGCCAACCAUAGAUCGACUGGAAUUGCAUCUACGCAUGGAUGUCAUUUAGCUUUAGACGUAACAAUAAACUGCAGAGAUAAUAGUGUACCUCUAAAUGUAAAACUGUCCAAGCAACAAGUUUUUGUUGUUAGUACAAAUGCAAUUGAUGUUGCCGAAAUAAUUCAUCUUCUUGGUCCAUAAAAUAAUAGAAGCUUAGAACCAGAGCAUCUUAUCAUAAGUGAUCAAAGUUGUUAUCUUGCAAUAGUGGGAAUACUUGGAAUAUCCUUUAACUAUACAAAGUUGUCGACACUGUCAACUCUGAUCCUACAACAGAUUGAUGCCCACUGCCCACCUCAUGUUUUCAUGAAAAAAUAUACGUGACAAGAUAUGUAUACAAAGCUUCCAUGUAGAGAUGCAACCUUCAUCAAGCAAGGAAAUGUGCCUUCUUAGAGAAAAGAGCAUGCGCAGGAACAUCACUCAUUCAAUGAAGGAACAAUAAUAAUCAGGCAUCAGGUUCACAUCUCGGCGUUUGUGAGGCCAAAGUCAAGGCAUUCCAAGGAUUUUUUCGGACGAGCCUUGCAGUUUUCUAGUGUCUAUCCCAUAUAUAUUUGAUUCUACUCUGUCUUAUAUAUACCUUCUAACCGGUAUGAAAUAGUAUAACUGAUCACUAUCCAGGGAAGAAAGUCACAAAAUACCAAUAAAUUGGUUGCUCUAAGAAAAUACCAAUAAACUAGCACGAUGUGCUUUUUUGUAUUUUACAUCUUAAGAAAAGCUUUUCCGAAAACGUACAACUGGAAUCUCUAAAAAGACUUAUAUUUAGGAAUAGAGGGAGUACUUAGCAUGACAGUACUUCACCCCAAGUCUGCAAUAGUAUGCUACAAAUAAGCAUAUAUUAAACAUUAGAAAAUCCUUAUAUUGCUCUGUACACUUAAUGAUUAUGAUCAACGUCGGCAAUAAAGCUCAUUGUAAAAAUGCACUCUUGUUAAAUCUGGAGCUAAGUGUUGUGCAUGCAUUUAAGAGCAUAAUCUUAAGGGACUGAAUUAACAAAAAAGGAAAAAAAUGAGAGACCGACUACCUUCUACCUUGGCUAAUCCAUAACAUACAUAUAGCAUCCGCAACCAACUCUUGUUGAUAAUACCUAAUAUAUGAACCUAUCUGACAUUGAGUAAGCCUACUGAAUUAGCUCACUUCGAAAGACAAGCUGGCAUUAAAAGCAUGGUGAUUGUAAAACCACCUUGAAGCAUUAAAAGCAUGUUGUUUCGCCGACGCUGUUGGGUCUUCCAACCUCAUCCCCAUGCACAACCUGGCGGAUUCGACUCCGGUUAUAGUCUAAAGAAUAAAUUAGAUAAUCAAAUAAAAUCACAUAGUGAGCACAUUAGAACACUCUGAAGCGUUUGUUGUAUCUCUCCCUUCUUCGAAGGGCAGCAUCAACAGUUAGCAAAGAAGUACCGAGCCUUGCUCUCUCUCCCAUCUACAAUCUGAGCAAAAUUCGAAAAAGAAAUGAAAGCUAGAUGCCAAGAGAUGUGUGACAGCAUAAACGUGUUUUCAGGUGAUGCUGAUACAAAGUGUGUAUGAAUCUAAAUGGCGUAAGAGAUGUGUGAGCACAGGAGCAUUUAUCUAACUGGCCAUUUAGGUGAAGUUUGUCGCCAUUACUUGUUGCUCUUAUCUAAGCACGACCUAAAUCGUCGGGAGCGUCAUUCUUUCUGAAUUAAAUCCCGGGAAAACUUUAAUAAAGAGCAAACAGGAAUAACAUGAUUUUUGACCAUUAGAAACUAAAAAAUGAAUAAUAGAUUGUAUAUACUGCAAGCAUAUGUGUAGACACCCAUCCAAGACAGAAACAGGAUCAUUCAGGGAGAAGUAAUUGUUGCACUUGAGCACCCAAAGUAAAGCUCUCAAUAUCUUAUAGAACAACUGCUCUCAUGUACAGCUACAGUUUCAUUACCUACCUAUCUCGACAAUAAAUUCACAAAUCAAUUUCCUAGCUACGUUCCUUUCACCUUUCAUCAAUGAUGAAUCGUCUAUAGCACAUGUAAGAACUACUUUAAGGAAUUUGCUCACUUCUAUAAAUUACAGAAACAACAUUUUAUGAAAGAUGCACUGAGGUCCAAAUUUAUAGGUAAGCACUGGGUAGGUCACUAACAUGAAUUGGAUCUUGUAGGCCCCUGUAUAUAUAUGUCUCAAAUCUUAACAACAAUCCAACUCUUAGACAAAAAUAAAAACAAUGUUAAAUUAAGUGCCUUAAAAAACUACAUGAAUGAAAUUAUGUAUCAACCUGAACAACUGUCAAGGCACAUACCAAAAAUGCAUAUUACAGGAUAGGAAUUUUGUUGCUUCCUUCCAACCCCAAUUGCAAUCAAAUUCUGAUAAAAGAAUGAAUUACCGCAACGAUCAAUCACCUGAAGGACUUGAAAUCUACACUUGUUGUUCACCACUGGUGACUUUAAGUUUCCUAUCCCUGCUGACCCAUACAAAAGAAGCACAGUUAAUUACACUGCAAAAUUUAAUAUUUUUUAUAUUGAUAAAUCAUGAGAACUUAGUCAGAAAUCUUUGCAUGAGCUUACAAGAGUGUGAAGGUGGACUAUACAGGAAAUAAUGAAGUGGCAGUGUGGAUGAAACAUCAAUCCAACCAAAUGCUAUACCUGGUGGUUAUCCUCGACCAUUUCUUCCAAUAUAAUUCUAACAGACUAAAAGAUAAUCAUGCUAAUCAGAAACAAAAGAGGAUGGGAAGACCAUGGAUCAGACAGAAGACCCGGAGGUACAUAUGAUUGAUUUGAUUUUCCUUUUUAUAUGAAGAUCACUACAUAUGUCAGCGAAUGCAAUCUGAAUCGUGUCAUGUCAGUACAUACAAGUUUCCAAUAUCAGUUUCUAUUCUGAAUCAGAUUCAGCUAACACACCAGACUCCAUCUAAAGCUUGUGAAAAUUUUCCUCUGCUGCGUGCGUACCUACGCUAAUCAUGUAAAAAGAUACAACUUUAUUUCUACUAUAUGUCCUACCAGAAUCUACAUCGACAAUCCUUUCUCUGUAACUGAAGAACACCAUCUAUUGUGACCUAGCCCAAUUCAUAUCCUCUGCAAAAUCUAAUCCUUGAUAUAUGAAUAUGACUGAUUUAAUUUUUCUUCCUGUCUGAAGAUCAAUGCACGUGUCAGCCGCUGCAAGCUGAACCGUGUCUUAGCAGUAUAUACAAGUCUCUCCAAUGUCAAUUUCUAUAUUGAACCCUGUUUGAUUAACACACCAAACUCCAUCUAAAGUGUGUGAACAUUUUCCUCUGUUGCGUGUGUACCUAGAGUAAUCAUGUAAAUAGAUAGCAUAUUUCCCAUACUCUAUUUCCAAAUAGAACCUACAUUGACGAUCAUUUAUCCAUAACAGAACGACACUAUUAUUCGGACCCAAACCAUUCCAAGUCCUUUGCAAAAUCUAACCAGGAAGAUUUGAACCAAGUUUAUUUUAUUUUUUGCAAUUCAGUAGUAGUAAUGAAUACAUUCAGUUUUUAUGUUGUGUCAGAAAAAAGAAAGAAUAGAAAAACAAUAAAACUAUUCUUUGAUCUGAAAAUAUACAACCCCCAUUUCUUCAAUGUUUACCAUGGAGGCAACAUACCUGUGAUUAAAUAUUAUUCUCACCUAAUCUAUGUCACGCAUCCAAUAAAAUCGUGAAAACUGUCGUACUCAUGAGAUUUUUUUUGCUCCGAACAUAUUUCAUAAUAGUAGAGAUCAGUGAGCAAAUUUGCAUUCAACUUACCCAAGUGAUGGAAGCACUAUAUCUAUGGAAGACCUUUGCAAUAAAGCAAUACAUUAAGCCUUUAUGUGAGCAUUCACUUUAGAAUCAAGUUUGUCAAAAACCUAUCAUCCCUUAUUUUUAUCUAGAAAACCUGUAAGCAAAGAAUAUGUA
rnacentral:lncRNA from 1 species